rnacentral:rRNA from 1 species
GACGAACGCUGGCGGCGUGCUUAACACAUGCAAGUCGAACGGAAAGGCCCUGCUUUUGUGGGGUGCUCGAGUGGCGAACGGGUGAGUAACACGUGAGUAACCUGCCCUUGACUUUGGGAUAACUUCAGGAAACUGGGGCUAAUACCGGAUAGGAGCUCCUGCUGCAUGGUGGGGGUUGGAAAGUUUCGGCGGUUGGGGAUGGACUCGCGGCUUAUCAGCUUGUUGGUGGGGUAGGGGCUUACCAAGGCUUUGACGGGUAGCCGGCCUGAGAGGGUGACCGGCCACAUGGGGACUGAGAGACGGCCCAGACUCCUACGGGAGGCAGCAGUGGGGAGUAUUGCACAAUGGGCGGAAGCCUGAUGCAGCAGCGCCGCGUGCGGGAUGACGGCCUUCGGGUUGUAAACCGCUUUCGCCUGUGACGAAGCGUGAGUGACGGUAAUGGGUAAAGAAGCACCGGCUAACUACGUG